rnacentral:rRNA from 1 species
UACGGGGGGAGCAAGCGUUGUUCGGAUUUACUGGGCGUAAAGGGCGCGUAGGCGGCGUGGUAAGUCACUUGUGAAAUCUCCGGGCUUAACUCGGAACGGUCAAGUGAUACUGCUGUGCUAGAGUGCGGAAGGGGCAACUGGAAUUCUCGGUGUAGCGGUGAAAUGCGUAGAUAUCGAGAGGAACACCUGCGGCGAAGGCGGGUUGCUGGGCUGACACUGACGCUGAUGCGCGAAAGCCAGGGGAGCGAACGGG